rnacentral:rRNA from 1 species
UACAGAGGUCCCGAGCGUUGUUCGGAUUUAUUGGGCGUAAAGGGUGCGUAGGCGGCGGAGUAAGUUGGGUGUGAAAUCCCGGGGCUCAACCUCGGAACUGCAUUCAAUACUGCUUCGCUCGAGUACUGGAGAGGAGGCUGGAAUUUACGGUGUAGCAGUGAAAUGCGUAGAUAUCGUAAGGAAGGCCGGUGGCGAAAGCGAGCCUCUGGACAGUUACUGACGCUGAUGCACGAAGGCCAGGGGAGCAAACGGG